GAAACCAGCAUCCUCAGUGAGGGAGUGGCUUGAUCUGAUCCUGGGAGCUGGUGGCCUAGGAUGAUCUCUCUGUCCUGCCUGCAUUUGAACGCAAGGACUUAUUUCACCUCUGGUCAAAGAUCAUCUCGGAGCUGUCACGGCACCGCCCGCCACACGGGAGGAACCUUGCUGCAGUCCUCACUUUUUACCCACAAGGCACCUGGACAAGGAGAGGAGGAUGGCGAGGAGCAGCAGUGGAUGUGAGGAGUGGACCGACACCUCUCCGCUGGCCAGAGGGAAGACCAGCGCCUCUCCUGGGCCUCCGUCUAUGUCUCCAAUCAGCCUGCGCUGCCAUGGCCCUAGGGCUGCUGCGAUGUGAUAAUCUCUGCCUUUUGCGUUAUGCAUUGCCCUGAUGAAUUCAUCUUGUGACCACCUGGCACUCGCUGUUAGGAAUUCAAGUGUUGUUUUUGCAGCAGAGGCUGGGGCGAACGCUGUGAGGGACUGUUUUCUGACUGUCAGAGAGAUCCUCUUCUCCCUCCCUCCCCCUUCUCUUCAUCUCUCCUCCUCCAACAUCGGCAGAAUGUUUUAACCUCUCAGAAGACCCUGGCGUAUCUGCUGUUGUGGUGGCAGGAGUGGGAUUCUUCACCUCAGCAGGACCUGUGUGGGAAAAAGCCCUGCUUGGUAUUUAAAAACGGAAGGGCUUUUUGCUGUAAGACAAAUUGAAACGCAGGAGGCUAGAGAGGAAUGUGGCUGUCAGAGUCAACAGCUGCUAGUUUUUCGCUGUGAAUAAUCACUGAGGUUGACCCAUGGAAGCUGAGGAUUGUGUAACACACAUUUCACAAAAUUAAAGGUCAAUGCAAACA